GAUGAACGCUGGCGGCGUGCCUAAUACAUGCAAGUCGUACGGAAAGGCCCUUCGGGGUACUCGAGUGGCGGACGGCUGAGUAACGCGUGGGAACGUGCCCCAAAGUGAGGGAUAACGCACCGAAAGGUGUGCUAAUACCGCAUAUGGUCUUCGGAUUAAAGCUUCGGCGCUUUGGGAGCGGCCCGCGUACGAUUAGAUAGUUGGUGAGGUAAUGGCUCACCAAGUCGACGAUCGUUAGCUGGUCUGAGAGGAUGAUCAGCCAGACUGGGACUGAGACACGGCCCAGACUCCUACGGGAGGCAGCAGUAAGGAAUCUUCCACAAUGGGGGCAACCCUGAUGGAGCAACGCCGCGUGCAGGAUGAAGGUUUUCGGAUCGUAAACUGCUUUUAUAAGUGAAGAAUAUGACAGUAACUUAUGAAUAAGGAUCGGCUGACUACGUGCCAGCAGCCGCCGCAG
rnacentral:rRNA from 1 species